CCCGCUGUGAAUAAUGUGCAUUAAAAAAUUGUAUCUUUACCAUAGGACAUGGGUUUGUCAACUGAAAUCAAAGUUUUUUGACCUUGACCUUUGACCUAGGAAGUUGUAAAUAAAUUAUGACACACCCUUUGGUGUUGGUUUAUAAACAUGUCAAGUAUAAACUUUGAAAUGAUAACGGUUCUCAAGAUAUAGAGCGGACACGAUCUUUACCAUAGGACAUGGGGUUGUCAACUGAAACCAAAGUUUUUGACCUUGACCUUUGACCUAGGAAGUUGCACAUAAAUUAUGACACACCCUUUGGUGUUGGUUUAUAUACAUGUCAAGUAUAAACUUUGAAAUGAUAACGGUUCUCAAGAUAUAGAGCGGACACAAUCUUUACCAUAGGACAUGGGGUUGUCAACUGAAACCAAAGUUUUUGACCUUGAACUUUGCCCUAGGCAGUCGUUCAUAAAUUAUGACACACCCUCUGGUGUUGGUUCAUAUACAUGUCAAGUAUAAACUUUGAAAUCAUAACGGUUCUCAAGAUAUAGAGCGGACACGAUCUUCACCACAGGACACAGGGUUGUCAACUGAAAUUAAAGUUUUUGACCUUGACCUUUGACCUAGGAAGUUUUACAUACAUCAUGACACACCCUCUGGUGUUGGUUAAAAUGGAUGUCAAGUAUAAACUUUGAAAUCAUAACGGUUUUUAAGAUAUAGAGCGGACACAAAGUUAAAGUGUUACGGACGGACGGACGGACGGACGGACGGACAGACUGAUCACUAUAGGGCGACCCGCCUUAGUCGGCGGGGCCCUAAUUACCAGAAAAAAACCUUAAUGAUCGUCGAUUUAUCCAAAAGUUUUAAAGUUACACAUAGGAAGUAGUGCUUUUUAAGAAUCCUUGUGUAGUUCAUUAGGACUUGUGCUUUUAGCUAAGAUGUCAAAGAACAAUUGUAUGAAAUAUUUAAUCGCCGAAAAUCUCUUAAGACAAGUAGUUUAGAUUUCCCAAAUGACAAAAGUCGUAGGAAUAUUGUUUGUCAUCAAUACGUAGUACAACUACGUCAGUAGUCUAUUAUAUAAUAAGUUCAACUGUUCAUGCUGUUGGCGGCAAUUUCAAAUUAGAAAAAGACAUUUUCGUAGCUUUUCAAUUUGGAGGCAGGUGUUCAAAUUAGCGGUGGUCCGAGGUCCGCGACCUUCAACUUUUGCAAGCGGAAUUUCGACUAGGAUAGUUGGUUUCUACAUUUAGCUACGACCGACGUACGUAGUCACCUUCCAUUUGAAAGAAAAUAAGAAAUUACUUUGCAAACCUUUUCACCAUGUUCACCAAAGUCUCCAAUUAAACGAGCUAAAACUUAUUUUUAUCAUUAUUAUUCAUGACGGCGAUGUUCAUUUUGUUCAACCGCUAGCUUUAUAUAGAAAAUCGCCGACAAAUAUUGUAUAAAUUCGAGUAAAAUCGUAUCUGAUUGACAAAAACAACAUUGUAAACACAUAACAAUGGCGGCCGUGAAGACAAAAUUUUACAAAAUCGGAUCUGAUUCCGGAAGCGGAUAAGGGUAAUUCCGGGUUUGGCAAUCAUUUUCAAAAUAAAUCCAAGCAGGUGUAAAAAAUACAUCUAUGCAUGGUAAAUGAAUAUAAACACUAGUAUUGUAAACCAAAAGAUAUAUGUAAAAGAAAGAAAAAGCACAAAAAUAUUUUAUUCAGAAACUCAAAAUUACUUUUUGACAAAUUUUGAUUUAAAAAUCCAAUACAACGUGACAGCAUGGAACAGUAUAUCUAACAAUAUACAUGGUCAUGGUCACAGUCUAAAUUUUCUUUAUAAAUGAUAAAUGAUGAUAAUGCAUGUGAGAUGCUUUUAAAGUGUAAACAUAUUACUGCAAUUUCGAGGGGUUAUUUGUUUUUUUUUCUCAAUUUUGAAGGGUCAAUUAAAGUAGCUGAAAGUUUCUUUCUUUAUUUUCACAAAUAAUACAACUAUAUUAUAUAUACCUUAAUGUAAGUAAAUCAUAUGAUAUAUAGGUGGCAUUCUUUGGGCCACUCUACCCCCUCCUGUUUGAAUAACUUGGAAACGGUCCAGCUCCCCACCCCUAAACCAUAUGAGGGGCAGAUCUAGGAUUUUAGGUUAAGAGGGGCGCAAACUUAAAUUUUCGACGAGCAGAGCGAGGCUAAAAAAAAUUUAGGUAAAAUUAUCGGAAUAUUCUUUAUCAAGCUGAGAACAACCCAUGCUUUGCAAAUUUAAGGGGGUGCAAGCCUGCAACCCUCCCCCGUCUGAAUCCGCCCCUGCAUAUAUUCAAGUAUAGGACAAUAUAAUAAAUAAAAAAUGAAAUAUAGGGGGAGUCCCUGGAGUUAUCCCACCCCUCCUGUUUGAGAACUUGGAAACGGUCGAGAUCCACACCCCUUAACCAUAUAUAUUCAUGUUUUUGACAAUAUAAAAAAUCAAAUGAAAUAUAGGAAGAGUCGCUAGGGGUCACCCCACCCCUCCUGUUUUAGAAUUUAAAAAUGGUCGAGAUCCCCAUCCCUAAACCAUAUAUAUUCAUGUAUGACAAUAUAACAAAUCAGAUGAUAUAUAGGGGGAGUCCCUUGGGUCACCCCACCCCCUCCUGUUUGAGAAUUUGAAACCCAUUGAGAUCGCCACCCCUUAACCAUAUAUAUUCAUGUACGGGACAAU
rnacentral:lncRNA from 1 species